CCGCGGCUGAGAUCCGGACGUCGACCCGCUGCCGGGGGCGACGUGGAUGUAUUGAUAUACGUGUGUUUGUGAUACUCCGGGUUCUUUGCAUUGAUCCGCGUUAUUAUUCUGCGUAUUGUUCUGGUUAUCAUUGGGAGUUUACCUUUUACGUCGGGGUGAAUACAUGUGGAUUUAUCAUCAUCUCACAUGCGAUAAAGGUGAAUGUUCGGUGUUUGGACAUCAAUCAAGCAUGCGGCCCUUUUGCAGUGAGCGCGUAGCAGUUUGACCGGAUCAAAGUAGUGAAAUCAGAUCCCGUGAGGUUCAGAGAAGAGUUCGUGUGGCGUAAAGAGAGACGUGUGGACAGGUGGGCCGAAUAAAUCUGCAGAGAAAUCUUUGUCUCCAAUCGGUGUGAAGAGCUUUUUGGUUUCUGACCGCUGCAAAACCUUCUGAGACCCAAAUAAGGUUCACAGGGAAAAAUCCACCCAGAAGAAUGAGGUUAUGAGCAUCCUUCACUUCCCUUCUAACUUUGGCCUUUUGGAUUUUGCAACAUCUGCACAGAUAAAAGAGGCCGACUGUUUGUCCUCCCGAUGGAGCUUCUCUGGGUGGUGCUGCUGCUGGAGGUGGUGCUCAUGUCCUCUGCUGCCAGAAGGGGAGGGACUCCUGACGGGACGUCAACAACGGCCUCUCCGGGAGGUGAUCGUCGGCCCUGACCUCGCUUGUCUCAGCUCGCCACAGAAGACUUUGAAAAUCAUUCAACGUAAGAAAAAAGAAAAAUGUCUACGUGAAGAUGGAAGCGAAAGGCCCAGAAGUCCAGAAGCCUCGAGCCUCGUGUUCGGACACAAAGUGGCACAACCGUUUCAGGAUCAGGAUGCUGAUUAUUAUUCAUCAUUUUCCACAGCGCGAGUGGCAUUUCUCCCGUUUCCCACAAAGUGUCCGUGUCCGCACAAAGACGUGUGUGUGCAGUGGGUUGGAGGUGACGCGUGAACACCGCACUACACGGGCCUCCUUCACGUCGGGCGGCUCAGCGCACUUAUGAUCCGGAGGUAAUCCGUCUCUUGUGUGGGCUCCAUCGUCACACAGGGACACAACAGGCCUUUUCUUCCACGCGUAAUUAACAGAGUGAAAGCCACGUAACUCCUCAUGGGGCGGGAACAACGGGCCCGUUACGGGACACUUUCAGGUAAUUGAGUGGGUUCAUAUGUGGUGAAUUAAACUAAAAUGGAAACCAUGAGAUAGAUGGAUGGAUAGAUAAGUACUUAUUGAUCCCCGAGGGGAAAUUCAAUCCUUCAGUUUCAUCCUUCAAAUAAAUGGUUUUCACGAGACAGCUACUGGCCGGGCAUCUCUGAAGACACUCAACAUGGAGCCGUCAGAGCAAAGCAAUACAGGUUAGGAACACGCAAUAUCGCACAUACACAACUAUCCCUCACCUCUCUCACACACACACACACGCACACACACACACGGUAGCCUGAAAGGAGACAGUGACCUGAGCUGAACAAAUGGAUUUAGUCACGGCUGAGGAUUGGUGUGGAAUGUGUAUGUGUGUGUUAACGCUCGUCUGACUCUCCACCAAGUGAAGCAGAAAACACACAUGUGGAGGAGGAAGAAGAAAUACAGGAAUAGAAAAGAAAGUCAAAAUAUUGGGUAAAAUAAUAUUAUGUCAAAAGAUGUCAAAUGGAAAAAGAAUAGAUGUUCUACAAAUGUGGUGGGGAAAAAAGGUUCAAAAAUAUUCGGUGAAAA
ensembl:lncRNA